GACGUGCUGAGCUGUUCGAAAAACGAUCGGGAAUCAGCCAGUAAAAAGCAGGUUGCACCUAGCUACAUCAAUUUCGUUUACUGUGUAGCACGAACAUGAUUAAAGGUAUGCGCCAUUUUGUGCACACACAGAAUGAGUGCCCCCCCCCCUCUUUUUUUUUUUUUUUUUUUUUUUGAGGUCGUUGUGACUUGCUUCCUUCGGUAUUUGUUUACUCAGUCCUGCCUUUCUAUUGCAUUCGCUAAGGUCUUGCACAAGAAUGUGAGUACUUCGGGAUAAUCCUCAUCUCGAAAAUUUUUCAACCGCGAACCUUUAAAGUUCUCACUGAUGACGUUUUCACCUGAAUGACCUUAAAUGACGUUCUCACAUAAAGUUCUCACUCACCUUGGCUAUUCCCCUCUUAAUUGACCAACUUAGGC
rnacentral:lncRNA from 1 species